UGUCUCUUACGGACUAGCCAAUGAAAUUGAUCCUUCAGUACAAAAGCUGGAAUUAGCCCAUAAGACGAGAAGACCCUGUGGAGCUUCAAAACCAAAAUCACCAAACAUGCUUCAUGGGUUUUUAGUUGGGGCGACUUUGGAGCAAAAAAAACCCUCCAAACAUAAAUCUAUUUAUUAAGACUAACACACCAAAAAAAUAUUAUAGACCCAGCAGUAUCUAUUUACUGUCUGACCAAUGAACCAAGUUACCCCAGGGAUAACAGCGCCAUCCUCUUCUAGAGUCCUUAUCGACAAGAGGGUUUACGACCUCGAUGUUGGAUCAGG
rnacentral:rRNA from 1 species